AUGGAUGCAGAGGAGGAGGAUGAUCACAUUUUCACCACAUGGAUGAGUGACCAUAAAGAACCCGAGCCAGAUCCUGAACCGGACCCUGCGCCUGAACCAGAACAGGCACAAACCCCACAGAGAGACCUGGAGGUUGAAAGGAAGAGCAGCCUGAACCUCCCCCGACCCGGCAGAGUGCUGGCCACCCGACGAGCUUCGCUUCCUUGUCCUGCCACGCUUAACGCCAUGCAGUUGUCCCAUCUGCGUAGCACCCAGGCACCCAGCCCGGCCAGUCACCUGAUACGGAUGGGUCAUGAUGGCAGGCCACACCCACGGCCACACCCAUGGCGUUCUGGAGCCAAGGGGGAGGAUGACUGCCCCAAAGCAAACAGCACACCCGAGAGAAGACCCCCACCCAUCCCUACCAUUUUGGAGGUAACUGAGCCGCAGGAGAAGAAGUCCCGUUUCAGGAGCAGGAAUGUCAUGUCACUGAGUGAUGCUGACAGCAUAUGUCUGAUCUGCCAUGAUGACCUGCACAAAGGCGGUGGAGGAGUGCGAGAGCUGCACUGCACACACAGCUUCCACAGCGAGUGUAUAGAAGAGUGGCUGUGGAGGAAACAGGCCUGCCCCACCUGCCGUGUUCAUGUGGUGAUGCCUGAGCCUCUGUACUGGACCUCCACCCGCGUCAAGGUGCCCUGACCACCACCAUGACCGGGUCCCCGCUGGGCUAUUACAUACAACUGUAUAUACCU
rnacentral:lncRNA from 1 species